AACGAACGCUGGCGGCAUGCCUAACACAUGCAAGUCGAACGAGUCCUUCGGGUCUAGUGGCGCACGGGUGCGUAACGCGUGGGAACCUGCCCUUAGGUUCGGAAUAACUCCCCGAAAGGGGUGCUAAUACCGGAUAAUGUCUUCGGACCAAAGAUUUAUCGCCUUUGGAUGGGCCCGCGUUGGAUUAGCUAGUUGGUAGGGUAAAAGCCUGCCAAGGCGACGAUCCAUAGCUGGUCUGAGAGGAUGAUCAGCCACACUGGGACUGAGACACGGCCCAGACUCCUACGGGAGGCAGCAGUGGGGAAUAUUGGACAAUGGGCGAAAGCCUGAUCCAGCAAUGCCGCGUGAGUGAUGAAGGCCUUAGGGUUGUAAAGCUCUUUUACCCGGGAUGAUAAUGACAGUACCGGGAGAAUAAGCUCCGGCUAACUCCGUG
rnacentral:rRNA from 1 species